rnacentral:rRNA from 1 species
UACGUAGGGUGCGAGCGUUAAUCGGAAUUACUGGGCGUAAAGUGUGCGCAGGCGGUCGCGCAAGUCGAGUGUGAAAGCCCCGGGCUUAACUUGGGAAUUGCGCUCGAAACUACGUGGCUGGAGUGUGGCAGAGGAAGGUGGAAUUCCAGGUGUAGCGGUGAAAUGCGUAGAGAUCUGGAGGAACACCGAUGGCGAAGGCAGCCUUCUGGGCCAACACUGACGCUCAUGCACGAAAGCGUGGGGAGCAAACAGG